AUCGCAUCAUCAUCAUGUGACGCGCUAGGGCGCGCUUAACGACUUUACUGUGUGCUCAGUGAUACCCAACGAGUUGUUGAGAGCCGGUAUUGCAGUCACCAGUUACCUUGCCUGACCAUUGAAGUUUCCACGUGAGCAUCGGAGUCAAUAUCAAAUUCGUUAUAUCGAUCGACAUCAUGGUGCUGAAAUACUUAUCUGCCUACGUAAGAAAUAAAUUAAGAAUGGAGCGCAAAAAGAUGCCUACAUCGGAUGGAAGUCUUUCUUAGUGAUCAGUGAUUAAUUCAACAUCCUACAGUUCUACACACGACUCCAUUUUGAGUUUUCCGUACUGGUAAAUGACGUUACAGCGUUUAUUUACUACCCACAGAAUGCAUCAAAAUAUCGAUAGUAGAUACUGUGUUUACGAAAAACAUAAAGAUUAACAAAUUAACAAUGCUUCACACAAGGACAUAAUGUCAAUUACCUAUAAUGGUCAUUGUCAUUGGAAUCGACAAAAUGAAAACUUCAUGGCUUGUCAAGAUUUUGUUACACUGCCCAUAUUAUUAUUUAGUUAUGAGUUAGUUUCAGUUCAAA